rnacentral:rRNA from 1 species
AUUGAACGCUGGCGGCAUGCCUUACACAUGCAAGUCGAACGGCAGCACGGGGCAACCUGGUGGCGAGUGGCGAACGGGGGAGUAAUGCAUCGGAACGUACCUUUCAGUGGGGGAUAACGUAGCGAAAGUUACGCUAAUACCGCAUAUUCUGUGAGCAGGAAAGCAGGGGAUCGCAAGACCUUGCGCUGAUUGAGCGGCCGAUGUCAAAUUAGCUAGUUGGUGAGGUAAAGGCUCACCAAGGCGACGAUCUGUAGCGGGUCUGAGAGGAUGAUCCGCCACACUGGAACUGAGACACGGUCCAGACUCCUACGGGAGGCAGCAGUGGGGAAUUUUGGACAAUGGGGGCAACCCUGAUCCAGCCAUGCCGCGUGAGUGAAGAAGGCCUUCGGGUCGUAAAGCUCUUUCGGCCGGGAAGAAAUCGCACGGGCUAAUACCCUGUGUGGAUGACGGUACCGGAAUAAGAAGCACCGGCUAACUACGUGCCAGCAGCCGCGGUAAUAC